GAUUUGUCUGGUUUAUUCCGAUAACGAGCGAGACUCUAACCUACUAAAUAGUUGGUACAUACUCUUAGUGUAUACAGCUUCUUAGAGGGAUUUGCGGCGUUCAGCCGAAAGAAAUUGAGCAAUAACAGGUCUGUGAUGCCCUUAGAUGUCCGGGGCUGCACGCGCGCUACACUGGCAAAAUCAACGUGCUUGUCCUACCCUGAAAGGGGCGGGUAAACCAUUGAAAAUUUGCCGUGAUUGGGAUCGGAAAUUGCAAUUAUUUUCCGUGAACGAGGAAUUCCAAGUAAGUGCGAGUCAUCAGCUCGCGUUGAUUACGUCCCUGCCCUUUGUA
rnacentral:rRNA from 1 species